AAUAUAUUUUACUUUUGCAUUUAGAUUAUUAGACAAAUUCUAAAAGCUCAAGGAAUUAAAUGUUGCAUACAUAGGACAUUUCCAUUCAUAAGAAGCUAUGAUCCUAAAUAUGGAUUUACUCAAGCUUCAUGAGGAUCUUUUAGAUUCUUGUUAUUUAUUGCAAUCUGUUCUUUCAAUAUUCAGCAAAUGGUUAGACUGUUAUAUUUACUACUAACUUGAAGUGUAAGUGGUCCAGUGAAGUGAGUUCUGAUUAAUUAAUUUACUAAAAAUUAAAAAAUUAAUUCAGUCUUUUGAAUUCAGAGUCUUUCUAAUUAAGGCUCAUUGCUAUGUUAUAUGUUUGGAUGGCUUUCCAGUUUUGUAUCCUGUCAUAGAAUGUCUGAUUUCUAAGCUCAUAGUGUAACUGCUGGUUAGUUACAGUUAGCCUCGCUCAAAUAAAUUCAAAAAUCCAGUUAUCGGUUCUUCUACUAUAAGAAUAUCCUACAUGUAUCCCAAAAGGGAACUACUUUACAAAAGACAAUAGGCACCAAAGUAUGAACUAUAAGUAGGCUGAACAAAUAUAAAAUUUAAUGGAAUAGAUAGAAUAUGGACUGUAGUUUUAAUAGUAAUAUGUAUAUUGUCAUAUUUUCCAGUUAUGGAAAUUGAACUCACAACUUUAAAUGCAGAAGUUAGGGUCACUACCCACUGCACCACUUGGUCACCAAAUAAUAGUUAGCAUAACAAUUCAAAUAAUAAAACAACCCAAUUCAUUCAGUUGGUCGGCGGGCAAAAGUGGAAUUUGUCACCAUUUGUCACUAACCGAUUCAGUCCUGAAUCAUGUGUAUCUUUUUAGCAGGUUACUUUCAUAGUCUUGGCUUGGAUA
rnacentral:lncRNA from 1 species